UCCCAGUUCCCCCCAGUCCCUCCCAGUUCCUCCCAGUUCUACCCAGUUCCUCCCAGUCCCUUCCAGUCCCUCCUAACCUCUUCCAGUCCUUCCCAGUCCCUCCAAGUUCCCUCCCAUCCCUCCCAGUUCCAGCCCCAGGCCCUUCCCAGUCUCUACCAGUCCCUCCCAGUUCCCCCAGUUUCAGCCCCAGCCCCCUCCCAGUCCCUCCCAGUUCCCCCAGUCUCUCCCAGUCCCAGCUCCAGUUCCCUCCCAGUCCAUCCCAGUCCCUCCUAACCUCUCCCAGUUCCCCCCAGUCCUUCCCAGUCCCUCCCAGUCCUUCCCAGUCUCUCCCAGUUCCCUCCCAGUCUGUCCCAGUUCCCCGCGGGGGGGUUGCCUGUAAAUAACCCCCCAAUCACUAAUUUUGCUAACGAAUAAAAGCGACUAUUUUA